CCUACGGGAGGCUGCAGUGGGGAAUUGUUCGCAAUGGGCGCAAGCCUGACGACGCAACGCCGCGUGGAGGAUGAAGGUCUUCGGAUUGUAAACUCCUGUUGCCCGGGACGAAUGGCGCUGACCUAACACGUCGGCGUGUGACGGUACCGGGUGAGGAAGCCACGGCUAACUCUGUGCCAGCAGCCGCGGUAAUACAGAGGUGGCAAGCGUUGUUCGGAAUUACUGGGCGUAAAGGGCGCGUAGGCGGCCGCCUAAGUCAGACGUGAAAUCCCCCGGCUUAACCGGGGAACUGCGUCUGAUACUGGGGGGCUUGAGUUCGGGAGAGGAAUGUGGAAUUCCAGGUGUAGCGGUGAAAUGCGUAGAUAUCUGGAGGAACACCGGUGGCGAAGGCGGCAUUCUGGACCGAAACUGACGCUGAGGCGCGAAAGCCAGGGGAGCAA
rnacentral:rRNA from 1 species